GUGCUCACUUCGGCAGCACAUAUACUAAAAUCGGGAUGAUACAGAGAAGGUUAGCAUGGCCCCUGCACAAGGAUGACACGCAAAUUCGUGAAGCGUUCCGUAUUUAA
rnacentral:snRNA from 1 species